CGACGAGGAAACUUCUCAACUGCCUAAAGCGUCCGAGGAUUUUCUCUCGAGCGGGUGGCACGCCACCAUUCCCAGUACGACGACCUUUAGCCAUAUGAGGAGCACAGAAUCCGGUAUAAGGAGCAGCGCAUAUUCACCUUCUGACCUCGACUCGCAGCGGUAUAAAUCUUUUCCUAUUAAUUCGACAGUUGAUGACCAACAAGACGCCGUCGAGUUUCACAGGAGAGCUGGAUACCAGUUCGCAACAAAGUGAAACCCAUACAUCGAGAAGCUUUUUUGC